rnacentral:rRNA from 1 species
GCAAUGUGUGGCAUACGGCUCAGUAACACGUAGUCAACAUGCCCAGGGGACGUGGAUAACCUCGGGAAACUGAGGAUAAACCGCGAUAGGUCACUACUUCUGGAAUGGGUAAUGACCCAAACCUAUAUGGCCCCUGGAUUGGACUGCGGCCGAUCAGGCUGUUGGUGAGGUAAUGGCCCACCAAACCUGUAACCGGUACGGGCUCUGAGAGGAGGAGCCCGGAGAUGGGCACUGAGACAAGGGCCCAGGCCCUAUGGGGCGCAGCAGGCGCGAAACCUCUGCAAUAGGCGAAAGCUUGACAGGGUUACUCUGAGUGAUUUCCGUUAAGGAGAUCUUUUGGCACCUCUAAAAAUGGUGCAGAAUAAGGGGUGGGCAAGUCUGGUGUCAGCCGCCGCGGUAAUACCAGCACCCCGAGUGGUCGGGACGUUUAUUGGGCCUAAAGCAUCCGUAGCCGGUUCUACAAGUCUUCCGUUAAAUCCACCUGCUUAACAGAUGGGCUGCGGAAGAUACUAUAGAGCUAGGAGGCGGGAGAGGCAAGCGGUACUCGAUGGGUAGGGGUAAAAUCCGUUGAUCCAUUGAAGACCACCAGUGGCGAAGGCGGCUUGCCAGAACGCGCUCGACGGUGAGGGAUGAAAGCUGGGGGA